AUUGGGGAAUCUUCCGCAAUGGGCGAAAGCCUGACGGAGCAACGCCGCGUGCGGGAUGAAGGCCUUCGGGUUGUAAACCGCUGUCAGUGGGGAGGAAAUGCAUAAGGGUUCUCUCUUAUGUUUGACCGAUCUUCAGAGGAAGUCCGGGCUAAGUUCGUGCCAGCAGCCGCGGUAAGACGAACCGGACGAACGUUAUUCGGAAUCACUGGGCUUAAAGAGUGCGUAGGCGGCUUUGUAGGUUGGGUGUGAAAUCCCACGGCUCAACCGUGGAACUGCGCUCAAAACCACAAGGCUUGAGGGAGACAGGGGUGAGCGGAACUGAUGGUGGAGCGGUGAAAUGCGUUGAUAUCAUCAGGAACACCGGUGGCGAAGGCGGCUCACUGGGUCUCUUCUGACGCUGAGGCACGAAAGCUAGGGUAGCGAAAGGGAUUAGAUACCCCUGUAGUCAAU
rnacentral:rRNA from 1 species